UCUAAAAAAAUUUUUUAUUGUAAGAGAAUAGCAUAUUACUAUUUAAGUAUAAAAGAUAGAAAUUUUUACAUAAAUUUUCUGUAAAGAAAUUAGAUAAAAUUAAGUAAAGUUAAGUUAAAUGUUCUUUUUGGAUCAAGAUUUAAUAAAAAAUUCUUAUUAGAAAAUAAAUUUCGAAAAAACAUGAUUUUGUAUUAUAAAAAAAAUAUUAUAUUUCAAUAUAAUAUAGAAAUAAAUAAUACAAGAAGUGAUAUACCAAUCAUAUGUUUAGAUAACUAAUUUGUAUAAUUAUAAUUAAGGGUCAGCUUUAAUUUUUUAUAACAUAGUAUAAUAAAAUUAUAAUUUGUAAUAUUUAUAGUAUAAUUUUGUAUAAUAACUAAAAAAUUUUUUUUUAUUAUUUAGAUAUAUAUAACUCAUAUAAAUUAAACUGUUAAAAUAAGUAAUUAAAAAUAAUUUUUAAUAAAUAAAAAAUAUUUUUUAACAUAUAUACAUAUAUUUUCUAAGAACUAGGAAUUUUCCAAAAUGUUUACUAAAAACGAUUUUUCUAGAUUCUUAUUAGAAAUUUCUUUUUCUUUUCAAUGUAAAUUUAUAUAUUAAGCUUAGUUUAAAUUAACCAAGUAAACUUAAUUAGUUUGCCGUUAAAAAGAAUUGGGAAAUUAUAUUUAGAAAAUAAAUAAUGAAUUUUUUUAUUAUGUGAAGAAACAUAAUUAGAAAAAAAAGACGAAAAGACCCUAAGUGAUUUAGAUAAAAUAAAGAAUAAACUACUUUAUAAUUCUUUGUUGGGGUAACUACUGCUUUAUUUAACAACAGUAAUUAAUUUUUUUUUAUUAAGAAAGAUCCUUAUAUUUUAUAUAAGAUUAUUAGAAAAAUUAACCUUAGGGAUAACAGCGCUAAUGGAUUAAAUAAGUUCUUAUUGUUUAAUUUGUUUACGACCUCGAUGUCGGUUUACUUUAACUAAUUCUUGUAGAAGAGAAUAAAGUUUGUUUGCUAACCAAAUUAUCAAGUACAUGAGCUGGGUUAAGGACGAAGUGAUUCAGUCCGGACUUUAUCUUUUAUUAAAAUUAUUUUGAGUACGAAAGGAAAAUUAUAAUUAUAUUUUUUAU
ensembl:Mt_rRNA